rnacentral:rRNA from 1 species
GACGGAGGUGGCAAGCGUUGCUCGGAUUUACUGGGCGUAAAGCGCACGUAGGUGGUCCCGCAAGUCAGACGUGAAAUCCCUCGGCUUAACCGAGGAACUGCGUUUGAAACUGCAGGACUUGAGUGCAGGAGAGGAAGGCAGAAUUCCUGGUGUAGAGGUGAAAUUCGUAGAUAUCAGGAAGAACACCGGUGGCGAAGGCGGCCUUCUGGACUGCUACUGACACUGAGGUGCGAAAGCGUGGGGAGCAAACAGG